rnacentral:rRNA from 1 species
AUGAACGCUAGCGGCAGGCCUAAUACAUGCAAGCUGAACGGUAAAUAUUGUAGCAAUACGAUAUGAGAGUAGCGUAAGGGUGCGUAACACGUAUGCAAUCUGCCCUGUACAGGAGAAUAGCUCGGCGAAAGCCGGAUUAAUACUCCGUAAUAUUAUUGAAUGGCAUCAUUUGAUAAUUAAAGUCGCAAGACGGUAUGGGAUGAGCAUGCGUCUGAUUAGCUAGUUGGUGGUGUAACGGACCACCAAGGCGAUGAUCAGGAGGGGAACUGAGAGGUUGAUCCCCCACACUGGCACUGAGAUACGGGCCAGACUCCUACGGGAGGCAGCAGUAGGGAAUAUUGGUCAAUGGGUGAGAGCCUGAACCAGCCAUGCCGCGUGCAGGAAGAAGGCCUUCUGGGUUGUAAACUGCUUUUGCCGGGGGAUAAAAUUCCCAUGCGUGGGAAAUUGAAGGUACCCGGUGAAUAAGCCAUGGCUAACUACGU